AUGGCCACUGCAAGAGCUCUAGCCACCAUGGCAGUUUUCCUCCUGGUGGCCCUCUCCACCUCCCACAUCGCGUCCUCGCUCCGCCCAGGUCUCGGUCUCGGUGUGUGCCGUGCAAGUGGCUACCUUCCAGGAAAGUCAGGCAACUGUGAGAAGAGCAACGACCCCGACUGCUGCGAGGAUGGCAAGAGAUACCCGCAGUACCACUGCUCGCCGCCGGUCACCGCGACCACCAAGGCCGUCUUGACGCUCAACAGCUUCGAGAAGGGCAAGGACGGCGGCGGUCCGUCCGAGUGUGACAAUUCCUACCACAGCGAUAAGGAGAUGGUCGUUGCGCUCUCCACCGGCUGGUUCAAGAACAUGGCCCGUUGCGGGCACCGCAUCAAGAUCAGCGCCAAUGGCAAGUCUGUGUAUGCCAAGGUGGUGGACGAGUGUGACUCCGUCUAUGGCUGCGACGAAGACCACAACUACGAGCCCCCGUGUGCUAACAACAUCGUUGACGCCUCUCCUGCGGUGUGGAAUGCCUUGGGGCUCGACCAGAACGUCGGCAUGGAGGGCAUCACCUGGUCCGAUGAGUGA
rnacentral:rRNA from 1 species